UGUGACAUCACAGUGCUCCAAUGUGAAAUCACAAUGCACCAAUGUGCCAAAACUAUCUUCCCAUGUGCCAUUAUAUUGCUGUAAUGUGCCAUCACAAUG
rnacentral:miRNA from 1 species